AGCAUACGUUAUUGUAGUGUUCCAUGGCCAAUAGAUCUGACAACAAAUGACCUCUUCAUAAUCAACGUAUUAUGACGCGGAGGAACUAAUGCAUGUGUUCGUGAAGACGUACCAAUUUGAAACAAAUUUCUCAAGUAAGGCGGACAGCCCGUUUUCAUGAUUUUAAAUAGUAGAAGUAACAAUCUUGUAUUAACAAUCUUGUAUUAACAGCCAAAGAGUGAUAUAACCAAUGUUCUAAUUUAUCCAUGUUGUGUUGGGGAUGUACCACUAUAUACUUCUAUUGCGUAGAGAAAAAUAUGGACGCUAUAAUGUGGUUAAUAUGGACCCCAAAAUCUAAUUUAUUAUCUAAGUAGGUAUAUAACAAAUUAAAGAUAUGGACGCUAUAAUGUAGUUAAUAUGGACCCCAAAAUCUAAUUUAUUAUCUAAGUAGGUAUAUAAUAAGAGUUUUGA